rnacentral:rRNA from 1 species
UACAUAGGGUGCAAGCGUUGUCCGGAAUUAUUGGGCGUAAAGAGCUCGUAGGUCGUUUGUUACGUCGGAUGUGAAAACCUGAGGCUCAACCUCAGGCCUGCAUUCGAUACGGGCAAACUAGAGUUUGGUAGGGGAGACUGGAAUUCCUGGUGUAGCGGUGGAAUGCGCAGAUAUCAGGAGGAACACCAAUGGCGAAGGCAGGUCUCUGGGCCAUUACUGACACUGAGGAGCGAAAGUCUGGGGAGCGAACAGG